CAAGGAAUAGUUUAUGUAGAAUUCCAGCUUUGGGUGUUGGUGGUGAGGUUUAAU
rnacentral:tRNA from 1 species